rnacentral:rRNA from 1 species
GACGAACGCUGGCGGCGUGCUUAACACAUGCCAGUCGAACGGAAAGGCCCUGCUUUUGUGGGGUGCUCGAGUGGCGAACGGGUGAGUAACACGUGAGUAACCUGCCCUUGACUUUGGGAUAACUUCAGGAAACUGGGGCUAAUACCGGAUAGGAGCUCCUGCUGCAUGGUGGGGGUUGGAAAGUUUCGGCGGUUGGGGAUGGACUCGCGGCUUAUCAGCUUGUUGGUGGGGUAGUGGCUUACCAAGGCUUUGACGGGUAGCAGGCCUGAGAGGGUGACCGGCCACAUUGGGACUGAGAUACGGCCCAGACUCAUACGGGAGGCAGCAGUGGGGAAUAUUGAAAAAUGGGCGGAAGCCUGAUGCAGCAACGCCGCGUGCGGGAUGACGGCCUUCGGGUUGUAAACCGCUUUCGCCUGUGACGAAGCGUGAGUGACGGUAAUGGGUAAAGAAGCACCGGCUAACUACGUG